rnacentral:lncRNA from 1 species
ACACUCUUAUUUCAUCCGGCCUGGGGAGGAGGGGAAAGAGGAAGUCACCUGUGAAAUUGUCUUUGCGCUUUGGACUCAAGCCCCCAGGUAGGGCAGUAACAGGUAUUCUAAUCUCUGCAGGUCUCCUUACCUUCCUGUUUGGUCUCGGGUGGUUUGUUUUUGACCUACGUAGCUUAUGGGUUUUCCCUGCUUGGGCUGCUGCCCCCUGGGUCCUUCCCCUCUCUCCCUGCAGCCUUAUGCAGCAACAGCUCCCUGUGCUUUCCCUUCCCUCCUCCUGCUGCUGCAUCUCUGCCUUCG